AAGGAUCAUUACUGAAUUGUUGACACGAGCUGUUGCUGGUCCUCAAAUGGGGGCAGGUGCACGCUCUGUUUACACAUCCACUCACACCUGUGCACCCCUGUAGUUCUCUGGUUCGGGAGGCCCUGCCUUCCUUCCGUAGUCCUACCUCUUUUACACACACACAUCAAUGAAGUCUUGUGGAAUGUAUGCAGCGUUUAACGCAAUACAAUACAACUUUCAGCAACGGAUCUCUUGGCUCUCGCAUCGAUGAAGAACGCAGCGAAAUGCGAUAAGUAAUGUGAAUUGCAGAAUUCAGUGAAUCAUCGAAUCUUUGAACGCACCUUGCGCCCUUUGGCUAUUCUGAAGGGCAUGCCUGUUUGAGUAUCAUGAACACCUCAACUCUCAUGGUUUUCUGUGAUGAGCUUGGACCGUGGGGGUUUGUUGGCCUUUGGUCAACUCCUCUCAAAUGAAUCAGCUUGCCAGAGUUUGGUGGCAUCACAGGUGUGAUAACUAUCUACGCUUGUCGUUGUUGACCAGGUACCCUCCGGUUUCGGGGGUCCUCUGGAGCUUAUAAAUGUCUCUCCUCAGUGAAGACAACCAUUUAAAGUUCGAUCUCAAAUCAGGUAGGACUACCCGCUGAACUUAA
rnacentral:rRNA from 1 species